CAAGCGCUGUGUUUUCCAGGUCCGCGCAGGCCAGGGGAGCCCUGCGUGUUUGCUUGGUAGGAGUGGAUUACCGGGAAACUAGACGGAAGGUACCCUGCCAGUCGGCGUGUACUGUAUUGUUUGGGAGUGAACAGCGUGUAAAGUAAAUGUCAGACUCGAUCAUCAGAAACCCAUCAGACGUGCAUGGACUCAGCACUGAGGAAUCAAAAUACGAAUAGACAAUAAUAUGAUGUGAGAUUCAAGAAGCUCAGUGAACCCCAACAGGAUAAUUUAAAGGAAAGCCACACCUACACUCAUCAUAAUCAAAAUGGUGGAAAUCAGAGCAAAGAAAGGCCCUUGAGAGCAGCUAGAGGAAACAUUACACUUUACAUGUAGGGGAACACAAAUUCUAAGGGCUGCAGAUCUCUUCUAACACACAAAGGCAGCAGAAAAAUACAUUUAAAGCAUUGAAAGAAGAGAACAGUCAACCCAGAAUUCUAUAUCCAGCGAAAGUAUCCUUUGGGUAUGAAGUCAAACUAAAGCUAUUCUCUGAUGUAGGAAAACUAAGAGAAUUUAUCAUCAGAAUAUAUUUUCUGUACUGACUGUUGAAGGAAAUUCAACAGAAGCUGAAUGAAAAUGUUGACAAAAGAAAGUUUGCUUUCAAGAAUGAAGGAACAUAACAGAAAUGGUAAUCAAAUAGGUAAAUGCAAGAGACUAUUUUUUUAAGCACUUUAAAACACAUGAUCAUUAAAAGUAAAAUCGAUAACAUUAUCUGGUAGAGUUUUCAAUGUGUGGGAUAUAAUUCAAAUGACAAUUAUAUAGAUCAGUUGAGAGGAAUAGUAAAGAAGUUUAUAUGGUUGCAAAGCUUUUACAUUUCACUUGAAUGUGUAUGUGUGCGUGUAUGUGUAUGUGAAAUAGUAUCUACAGCAGCCACUAAUACAGAGGCAUUUGACCAAAAUACCAAUGAUAAAUUUAAACAAUACAAAAAUUAUUUAAAUAACUCAAAAUAGAGGAAGUGAAAUAGAAGGGACAAAUAGAAAUCAAAUAACAAAAUGGCAGAACUAUUUUAUUAUUUGAUUUUUAUUAUUCUAACAGUAGGAAUAAUGAUAUUAAAUGCUGAUAGUCUAAAUCAUUCCGUUAAAAGGAAAGGGUUGGUAGAGCAGAUAAUAAAGUCCUUACUAUAUAGUGCCUUCAAAUGACAUACUUUAACCACCAAGACAUAGAUAGUUAAGCAAAAGAAACACUAGAAUUGCUAUUUUAAGAUCAGAUAAAAUAGACUUCAAGACAAACACUACCACUAAAGAUAAAAAGGGAUAAUUCAUGGGAGAAUGUAACACUUAUAAACUUAUAUUAAUCUAGUAAGAGCCAUUCUGAUCCUGGGCAUAAAAACAAUACUGUUAGACAAAGUUCACAAAAUUUCUUUAUAGUUAUUAUUUUAUUUAGAAUAUGUCCCAUGGAAGAGGUAUAGCCCAAAUACCAUGGUCAAAAAUUAUUUGGAUUGAUUUUUUUUCCCUUUUGCACAGAUACCUUAUUAAUUUUAUAUAUAGGUUGGUUCAUUUGUUUCUGUUUAUAUUCUGUCUUAGAGUCUUUAUC